rnacentral:rRNA from 1 species
UCAAGAGUUUGAUUCUGGCUCAGGAUGAACGCUGGCGGCGUGCUUAACACAUGCAAGUCGAACGGACAAGGAGAGCUUGCUCUUCUUGUUAGUGGCGGACGGGUGAGUAACGCGUGAGCAAUCUGCCCAUAUCAGGGGAAUAACAGUUAGAAAUGACUGCUAAUACCGCAUAAGACCACAGGAGGGCAUCCUCCAGGGGUAAAAGAUUUUAUCGGAUAUGGAUGAGCUCGCGUCCUAUUAGGCAGUUGGCGGGGUAACGGCCCACCAAACCGACGAUAGGUAGCCGACCUCAGAGGGUGAUCGGCCACAUUGGAACUGAGACACGGUCCAAACUCCUACGGGAGGCAGCAGUGGGGAAUAUUGGGCAAUGGAGGAAACUCUGACCCAGCAACGCCGCGUGAGUGAUGAAGGUCUUCGGAUUGUAAAACUCUUUAAGUGGGGACGAAGAAAGUGACUGUACCCACAGAAUAAGCCUCGGCUAACUACGUGCCAGCAGCCGCGGUAAUACGUAGGAGGCAAGCGUUAUCCGGAAUGACUGGGCGUAAAGGGUGCGUAGGUGGUCUGACAAGUUGGUAGCGUAAUCCCGGGGCUCAACUUCGGUGCUACUACCAAAACUGUUGGACUUGAGUGCAGGAGGGGCAUAUGGAAUUCCUAGUGUAGCGGUGGAAUGCGUAGAUAUUAGGAGGAACACCAGUGGCGAAGGCGAUAUGCUGGACUGUAACUGACACUGAGGCACGAAAGCGUGGGGAGCAAACAGGAUUAGAUACCCUGGUAGUCCACGCCGUAAACGAUGAAUACUAGGUGUAGGGGGUAUCGACUCCCUCUGUGCCGUCGCAAACGCAUUAAGUAUUCCGCCUGGGGACUACGGCCGCAAGGCUGAAACCUAAAGAAAUUGACGGGGACCCGCACAAGCAGCGGAGCAUGGGGUUUAAUUCGACGCAACGCGAAAAACCUUACCAGAGCUUGACAUCGAGUGACCGAUCCUGUAAUGGGAUCUUCCCUUCGGGGACACGAAGACAGGUGUUGCAUGGUUGUCGUCAGCUCGUGUCGUGAGAUGUUAGGUUAAGUCCUGCAACGAGCGCAACCCUCAUGUAUAGUUGCCAUCAUUCAGUUGGGCACUCUGUACAGACUGCCGUGGUUAACACGGAGGAAGGUGGGGAUGAUGUCAAAUCAUCACGGCCCUUACGUUCUGGGCUACACCCGUGCUACAAUGGCUAUUACAAAGAGUCGCAAUAUCGUAAGAUGGAGCCAAUCUCAUAAAGAUAGUCUCAGUUCGGAUUGUGGGCUGCAACCCGCCCACAUGAAGUCGGAGUUGCUAGUAAUCCCGAAUCAGCAUGUCGGGGUGAAUGCGUUCCCGGGUCUUGUACACACCGCCCGUCACGCCAUGGGAGUUGGGAGUACCCAAAGUCGGUGUUCUAACCGCAAGGAGGAAGCCGCCUAAGGUAAUACCAAUGACUGGGGUGAAGUCGUAACAAGGUAGCCGUAUCGGAAGGUGCGGCUGGAUCACCUCCUU